rnacentral:rRNA from 1 species
UAGGGAAUCUUCCACAAUGGACGAAAGUCUGAUGGAGCAACGCCGCGUGAGUGAAGAAGGGUUUCGGCUCGUAAAACUCUGUUGUUAAAGAAGAACAUAUCUGAGAGUAACUGUUCAGGUAUUGACGGUAUUUAACCAGAAAGCCACGGCUAACUACGUGCCAGCAGCCGCGGUAAUACGUAGGUGGCAAGCGUUAUCCGGAUUUAUUGGGCGUAAAGCGAGCGCAGGCGGUUUUUUAAGUCUGAUGUGAAAGCCUUCGGCUCAACCGAAGAAGUGCAUCGGA